AGCGUAAUCACUUGUCCUUUAAAUAAGGACUAGUAUGAAUGGCUUCACGAAGGCUACACUGUCUCCUUUAUCCAAUCAGUUAAACUAAUCUCCCCGUGAAGAAGCGGGGAUUCGUCUAUAAGACGAGAAGACCCUAUGGAGCUUUAAACAUAUAAGACAUAUGAUUAUACCCAUACUAGACUUCACAUAGCCCAUCACCUUGUCUUAAGUUUUAGGUUGGGGUGACCACGGAGAAAAAUCAAACCUCCAUGUAGAAAGAAAAUUAUUUUCUAAGCAAAAAGCCACACCUUUACGCAUCAAAAUAUUGACCUAAAUUGACCCAAUUUCUUGCUCAACGAACCAAGUUACCCUAGGGAUAACAGCGCAAUCCGCUUUAAGAGCUCUUAUCGACAAGCGGGCUUACGACCUCGAUGUUGGAUCAGGGUAUCCUAAUGGG
rnacentral:rRNA from 1 species